GCGGCCCAUCAGCUAGUUGGCGGGGUAACGGCCCACCAAGCCUGCGAUCAGUAACUGGUGUGAGAGCACGACCAGUCACACGGGCACUGAGACACGGGCCCGACUCCUACGGGAGGCAGCAGUAAGGAAUAUUGGUCAAUGGACGAAAGUCUGAACCAGCCAUGCCGCGUGAAGGAUUAAGGCCCUCUGGGUUGUAAACUUCUUUUAUCUGGGACGAAAAAAGGGUAUUCUUACUCACUUGACGGUACCAGAGGAAUAAGCACCGGCUAACUCCGUGCCAGCAGCCGCGGUAAUACGGAGGGUGCAAGCGUUAUCCGGAUUUACUGGGUUUAAAGGGUGCGUAGGUGGGUUUGUAAGUCAGUGGUGAAAUCUCCGAGCUUAACUCAGAAACUGCCGUUGAUACUAUAAAUCUUGAAUUAUAUGGAGGUAAGCGGAAUAUGUCAUGUAGCGGUGAAAUGCUUAGAUAUGACAUAGAACACCAAUUGCGAAGGCAGCUUACUACGUAUUUAUUGACACUGAGGCACGAAAGCGUGGGUAUCAAACAGGAUUAGAUACCCUGGUAGUCCACGCCCUAAACGAUGGAUACUCGACAUU
rnacentral:rRNA from 1 species